CCUACGGGUGGCAGCAGUCGAGAAUUUUUCACAAUGGGCGCAAGCCUGAUGGAGCGACGCCGCGUGGGGGAUGAAGGGUUUCGAUCCGUAAACCCCUGUCAUUUGCGAACUUGUAGUGAAAGAGGAAGGGACGGCUAACUCUGUGCCAGCAGCCGCGGUAAUACAGAGGUCCCAAGCGUUGUUCGGAUUCACUGGGCGUAAAGGGUGCGUAGGUGGCCAGGUAAGUUUGGUGUGAAAGCUCGGAGCUUAACUCCGAAAAGUCAUUGAAUACUAUCUGGCUGGAGGGUCGGAGGGGAGACUGGAAUUCUCGGUGUAGCAGUGAAAUGCGUAGAUAUCGAGAGGAACACCAGUGGCGAAGGCGAGUCUCUGGACGAUCUGACACUGAGGCACGAAAGCUAGGGGAGCAAACAGGAUUAGAUACCCUAGUAGUC
rnacentral:rRNA from 1 species